UACGUAGGGGGCUAGCGUUGUCCGGAAUCAUUGGGCGUAAAGCGCGUGUAGGCGGCUCGAUAAGUCCGCUCUGAAAGCCCGGGGCUCAACCCCGGGAGGCGGGUGGAUACUGUCGAGCUCGAGUCCGGAAGAGGCAAGUGGAAUUCCCGGUGUAGCGGUGAAAUGCGCAGAUAUCAGGAGGAACACCAAUGGCGAAGGCAGCACUCUGGGACGGUACUGACGCUGAGACGCGAAAGCGUGGGGAGCAAACAGG
rnacentral:rRNA from 1 species